CUCUUCCUGCAGGCUUGCCUCUCUGUUCGCCAGAUUGGUUGCUACCAACAAAUUCGUGCCUCUUCCAAGUCAGCAUUGUAUUCUAUGGAAAUAAUGAACACAAAGACAACAUUUCUUUCCCUGAGGAUGAGUCUGGAAUUCUUCUUUUUGCUGGAAGAUUGUGAUGUUGGAGUGGGAAGAUCUCAGUGAGAGCACUACGCAGUAGGUUAAAAUGUGGUCUGAGUUCAGCCCUGAUCGCGGCUGCAAGCAAUGAGCCUUCCCAGCAGGAUGAGCAUUGGCUGAGGUCAGCCCAGGGCAGGAGGAGAUGCCCGUGUUCACCGUUCUUCACAGCACGGCUUGGGGCAUGAUAAGCAGAUCGAGACAGAGAUUCCUGUUAUGUCAGUGGGUUGAAUCACUGAAAAAAUGAAGUUCUGCACACUUGCCUUUGCCCAGCUGAACAACCAAGGGCAAACUGCAGCUUGGUUUGGAAGCACGCUUGGCGCACGCAGCGGUGGUGACUCAUGUAUAUUCACAGCAGCAUGGCUUUGGAUCUCCUGCACCUUGUUGCUCUAAUGCCAACCCAUCCAUCAGCACAAACACCGUACUGCACGCUUUCCUCUGGACAAAAAGCAAAACUGGGAAGGCCUUGGGAACUCAAAUUUACUGCAGGCUUGAUCCGAAGCUUGCUGCAAAGAUUUCCUUUGACUGAAAUGGGUUGUGGAACUACCUAAAAAUGGCCCAGUGCAGGAUCAGAGCUAUACGAUAUGGGUAUACGUACCUUCCUAUGUGGUACAUCCCAACGUAGCAAAUCUGCCAAGGCUCCAAAUAAUAGCUCCAACUGCAAGCUGUCAGGCUCCCGAGCAGACGUCCUUGUCAACCACACCUGCGGUGGAUUGAGUCUGGUGAGCUGGGCUGUGUACCUCGGUCAGGAGCUGCAGCCAAGCAGUGUGCCAGCUGGGGGACAGUGAGGCACUUGUACACCAAAGGUGAUGGAAAUCCUACCUGCAUACAAUGCUGGAUCCCCAGCUCUUCCUGAAGGAAAGCAUCUUCCGAUCUGAAAUGAGCUGUAAACACCUGGAAAUUCAAGCAACAUCAGCAAAGCACGGUGCUGUCUUCAUGCUCAACAGAACAGAAGAGAAGCUCACUGAAGAUUCCGUCGACUGGAUCACAACAGCUCCAGGACAUUUAACUUCAAGACAUGGUCAAAUGCUUUGUCAGCACUCCUGCAUACAGUGAGUUGUAAUAUGGCCUGGCUGCCAGUUGUGCUGCUUGAGAGCUUGCUACAUGGAAGCAACAUCGCUGCCCCAUGUGGCCUGGAUGUCAGGUUAUGCUAAUUAGUCCACAGCCAGUGCUUCUUCCCAGUCCCAUGACUGCUGUUGUUUCAUUCAGAGGUGUGACAAAAGGUAUUAAGGGCAGGGUUUUGUUUUGGUUUUUCCUUAUCUCAUGGAAUUCCCUUGUUCUGUGGGUUGCAUUUCAAUUCCAAGUUUUGUCUGGAUUCAUCUUUGCAGGGGUUGCGUUAGAUCUACAGAAAGAACUGAGCAUUACAAAAUACAGAGGCAGAAUGGAGCUCUGCUUUACAGUCACAUUUGACCUAAACGACUGAGCCAAUAUAUUUUUGGUAGUUCAGGUAUCGGGUAUCAUAGAGUUCUCACAUAGGACAGGCUUGUUGGCUCUUUUUCUCAGUGUACAUGAUAAUAUAUUUAUUUUAGAAAAACACUUAGCCAGAAGGAACACAACAUGUAGUGAGAGAUAAAUUAUGCAGAUAAUGUUCUAUUAUGCACACAGAGUAGAAAGUACAAGGGACAUGAAUUUCCCCAGGGAGACACCUCUGUGAGAGGAGGCUGGGACAACACAGAAAAUAAAAUAUGGAGAAGAAGAAAAUGAAUUGGAUGUAGUCAGUUCUGGCAGAUUUUGCUUGAAGGAGGAGGAAGACUGAAUGAGCAAAAAAUUUUACUGGGGGGCAAUUCCUUCCAAAGAAGUGACUGUAUAUGGGCUGUGUCACUUAUCAAGGUCACUGCUGUAACACAUCAGGACAGGGCUUUGACCCUGCAGGUAUUUAUGAGGCUAGGAGUGGGUGACUGGAAAGUGCGAAAGGAAUCAAUAUAGAAAACAACAGGCAGCAUCUCUUCUAUCCAGCCUUUCCCUUUGCUCUGAGACAGGGAACACAACGGCUUUUUUAGCUCUAGUCUGUGGUACAUGGCCCAUUGAGGUCUGGCAGUAUCCAUUCCUGUGGAUUGUGCAGCAAUGCAAGAUCACCUCCAGCAGACAAAGCAGCCACUGGUCGUAUCAGACAUGGGCACAAAAGCCUUUCCUAGGACGGAGUAAUAAUUGUACUUGAGCAGCAGAAUGGAGAGAGUCUGAGUGGGAAAUAGCACUUCAUCAAGAACAACAAGAAGAUGGCAAGAAGAUGUUUCUCUGAAGUCCGUCUUGGUUCACCCCCACAGCCGUACCUUGUAACAGCAGGUCUUGAAACCAACAUUCGGAAUCUGUCCCUGCUGCUGCUUGCACUGAUGCUCAGUUCCACUGUGCCAGUCUGUCUGACACAUUUGUGCUUCUCCUUCACAGUGCAGCAGGCUUAAGUGGGCUAAUUAAGGGAAUAAGAAAGGCAUUAGUCACAACUGGAGACUGGACUAAUUUGCUGACGUUGGACAGGGAAUUCUGUCUCCUGGAGACCUGGCUGAUGUGAUCAGAAGAACUCACAAACGGUAUCGAACCAAAGAUUCAUUCAGGCAAGUGGUUCUCUGUUUAUUUUG